UAUCGACCAUCUCAAUUGCAAAUUUGGGCAAAUCACGCAAAAUGACGACGGAAAAGGGCGACCAACUGCGGCAACAACUAAUAGCGGCGGUGGUGAAGAAGCGAGCGGCGAUUGCGCGGGCUCAUGAAAUCGUGGUGCGGCUUUUGGAGCCCGGAAUACCGGAGCCCGAGUUCCUGUCCAUGCUAUGGGAGAUUGGCCCCCCAAAUUAUUCAGACAUCGUAGAUGAGCGAGAAAUAAACAAACUGUGUGGAUAUCCGCCGUGUUCCAGCGUUCUAGAAAAUAUUCCCAAGCAAAAAUACAGCAUUAGUGCUUCCAAAAACAAGGUUUACGACCUGACCGAGCGCAAGAAAUUCUGUUCUGGAUAUUGUUUUAAGGCCUCCGAGUACAUUAAGUCCCAGGUGCCCACAUCACCAUUGUGGCUGCGAGAUCGGGAGACGAGACCCAGCUUUCAGCUGCUGCCUCGAGAUUAAAAUCCAAUUUAAAUAAAAGUUUUUUCGUUACACUCACCACAUAAAGGCAAUAUGCAAAUUUUAAACAAAAAACACUCAAAAAAUGUUAAACAAAAACAAAUGAAUGCAAAUUAAAAAGCACGAGAAAAAGCCAAAAAACAAAUAACAACAGCAGCAGCAACAAUGUGUUCAUAACUAUUAAAACGGAAAUUAAAAAUAAAAGCAAAGGCUUAAAGUAACGCAUUAUGUUAAACCGAAACCAAACUCAUCUGAAUCUCUACUUUCGCAUCCAUGUUUCUGCAUAAGUAUCUGCAUCUGCACCCGUACCCGCAUCCGUAUCUGUAUCCGUAUCUUUGCAUCUGCUGAGCGAAUGAGACGAAGCUGGAAACAUGCCAGCUAAAUUGCAAUCCAAAACCCAGAAUCAAUACAUCAAUCAGUCCAGCAAGCAACCAAUCAAGCAAUUCCAUCAUCAAUUUGCAACUGCCAUCAACUCAUCAUCAAUAACAACUGCAACCAGUACUGCAACAACAAUCCCAACCUAAAUGCCAAAAAUUAAAUGCACCCAACUAAAGCAAAUAAACUUAAAUAAAUCUAACCAAUAAACCUAAAAAAUAGCUUAACACCCACUCGACGGCGAACGAAGAGAGAGCAAAAUUAAAUUUGCAUAUUAAUUAUGGAACAUUCAUCAACAAUUUUGUUGUGUUUGUUCCAUUGCCAAAACAAAAAGGUCGCCGAUUGUUUGCAGCUGCAGCAACAAGAACCACAGCAACAACGACCACUGGGAAAUCCGACAACAACUAGAAGACCAACAACUACAGCAACCGAAGCAGCAACCGAAGCAGUAACAGAAGCAGCAACAGAAGCAACAACAUCAGCAACCCAGCAGCAACUUCUUGGACAGCAGCAACUUUUAGCUUCAUUUCGACAAAAUUGCUGGAUAACAUCUAACAACUGAACGAAACAACGAUACUCAAGUGUACUAAAAAGAAUAAGGAUCACCAUUAAUAGAAAAUCAACCAGAACAACAACAACUGCUACCUAAGGUUUCUCAAACUCUAAAAGUAAAUAACUCAAAAAGCAAAAAAAAAAAAAACAAAC